GUAGAACGCUGAGGAUUGGUGCUUGCACUAAUCCAAAGAGUUGCGAACGGGUGAGUAACGCGUAGGUAACCUACCUCAUAGCGGGGGAUAACUAUUGGAAACGAUAGCUAAUACCGCAUGANACUAGAGUACACAUGUACUUAAUUUAAAAGGAGCAAUUGCUUCACUAUGAGAUGGACCUGCGUUGUAUUAGCUAGUUGGUGAGGUAACGGCUCACCAAGGCGACGAUACAUAGCCGACCUGAGAGGGUGAUCGGCCACACUGGGACUGAGACACGGCCCANACUCCUACGGGAGGCAGCAGUAGGGAAUCUUCGGCAAUGGACGGAAGUCUGACCGAGCAACGCCGCGUGAGUGAAGAAGGUUUUCNGAUCGUAAAGCUCUGUUGUUAGAGAAGAACGGUAAUGGGAGUGGAAAAUCCAUUACGUGACGGUAACUAACCAGAAAGGGACGGCUAACUACGUGCCAGCAGCCGCGGUAAUACGUANGUCUCGAGCGUUGUCCGGAUUUAUUGGGCGUAAAGCGAGCGCAGGCGGUUCUAUAAGUCUGAAGUAAAAGGCAGUGGCUCAACCAUUGUAUGCUUUGGAAACUGUAGAACUUGAGUGCAGAAGGGGAGAGUGGAAUUCCAUGUGUAGCGGUGAAAUGCGUANAUAUAUGGAGGAACACCGGUGGCGAANGCGGCUCUCUGGUCUGUAACUGACGCUGAGGCUCGAAAGCGUGGGGAGCAAACAGGAUUAGAUACCCUGGUA
rnacentral:rRNA from 1 species